UGGGGAAUUUUGGACAAUGGGCGAAAGCCUGAUCCAGCCAUGCCGCGUGAGUGAAGAAGGCCUUCGGGUUGUAAAGCUCUUUUAGUCGGAAAGAAAGAGUCGCAAUGAAUAAUUGUGAUUUAUGACGGUACCGACAGAAAAAGCACCGGCUAACUACGUGCCAGCAGCCGCGGUAAUACGUAGGGUGCGAGCGUUAAUCGGAAUUACUGGGCGUAAAGGGUGCGCAGGCGGUUUUGCAAGUCAGAUGUGAAAGCCCCGGGCUUAACCUGGGAAUUGCGUUUGAAACUGCAAGGCUAGAGUGCAGCAGAGGGGAGUGGAAUUCCAUGUGUAGCAGUGAAAUGCGUAGAGAUGUGGAAGAACACCGAUGGCGAAGGCAGCUCCCGUGGGUUGACACUGACGCUC
rnacentral:rRNA from 1 species